rnacentral:rRNA from 1 species
CCCAACCCCUGUGACAUACCACUUGUUGCCUCGGCGGAUCAGCCCGCUCCCGGUAAAACGGGACGGCCCGCCAGAGGACCCCUAAACUCUGUUUCUAUAUGUAACUUCUGAGUAAAACCAUAAAUAAAUCAAAACUUUCAACAACGGAUCUCUUGGUUCUGGCAUCGAUGAAGAACGCAGCAAAAUGCGAUAAGUAAUGUGAAUUGCAGAAUUCAGUGAAUCAUCGAAUCUUUGAACGCACAUUGCGCCCGCCAGUAUUCUGGCGGGCAUGCCUGUUCGAGCGUCAUUUCAACCCUCAAGCACAGCUUGGUGUUGGGACUCGCGUUAAUUCGCGUUCCUCAAAUUGAUUGGCGGUCACGUCGAGCUUCCAUAGCGUAGUAGUAAAACCCUCGUUACUGGUAAUCGUCGCGGCCACGCCGUUAAACCCCAACUUCUGAAUGUUGACCUCGGAUCAGGUAGGAAUACCCGCUGAACUUAAGCAUAUCAAUAAGCCGGAGGAAA